rnacentral:rRNA from 1 species
AUUGAACGCUGGCGGCAGGCCUAACACAUGCAAGUCGAGCGGAGCGGCGGACGGGUGAGUAAUGCCUAGGAAUCUGCCUGGUAGUGGGGGAUAACGUCCGGAAACGGGCGCUAAUACCGCAUACUAUCAGAUGAGCCUAGGUCGGAUUAGCUAGUUGGUGGGGUAAAGGCCUCCCAAGGCGACGAUCCGUAACUGGUCUGAGAGGAUGAUCAGUCACACUGGAACUGAGAAACGGUCCAGACGCCUACGGGAGGCAGCAGUGGGGAAUAUUGGACAAUGGGCGAAAGCCUGAUGCAGCCAUGCCGCGUGUAGGAAGAAGGUUUUCGGAUCGUAAAACUCUUUUGUUGGGGAAGCGGUAUCUAACCAGAAAGCAACGGCUAACUACGUGCCAGCAGCCGCGGUAAUAC